rnacentral:rRNA from 1 species
CCUACGGGCGGCAGCAGUGAGGAAUAUUGGUCAAUGGACGGAAGUCUGAACCAGCCAUGCCGCGUGCAGGAAGACGGCUCUAUGAGUUGUAAAUAGUUUUUGUACAAGGGUAAACCUGAAUAUUUGUAUUCAGCUGAAAGUACUGUACGCAUAAGGAUCGGCUAACUCCGCGCCAGCAGCCCCGGUAAUACGGAGGGUCCAAGCGUUACCCGGAUUUAUUGGGUUUAAAGGGUGCGUAGGCGGAUUGAUAAGUUAGAGGUGAAAUGACCGGGCUUAACUCGGGAACUGCCUCUAAUACUGUUGAUCUAGAGAGUAGAUGCGGUAGGCGGAAUGUAUGGUGUAGCGGUGAAAUGCUUAGAGAUCAUACAGAAUACCGAUGGCGAAGGCAGCUUACCAGUCUAUAUCUGACGUUGAGGUACGAAAGCGUGGGGAGCAAACAGGAUUAGAUACCCUAGUAGUC